UUUGGCUAGAGCAGAGUUAGAAGUGCGCGGACGGACGGACGGACGGACGGACACACGCACACAGAGGGAGGGAGGGCUUGGUUUUCGUUCAGCAUUUUUCCUCCUCCUUUUUGUUCAUCUGUCGCCCGCAACCAUGUGUAUGCCGGUCGUCCGCCGCUAUGGUGAUUCCGUGAAGUCCGAUUUCUUUAUCGUCUUCCCCUGCUUCGCAGGCCUUCCUGCAUCUUCUUCCUCCUCUGUCCGAGCAGCGAUCUGGAUGCGCAGGAAAACUCCCUCUCCUGUUCUUUCUGUUGCUAAGGUGUCCUUCAUCAGUCUCUCCCUUGGCUACUCCUUCCUUUCUGUCCUUAUUUCCGUGCGGGUGUGCGAUGGACCUUCUUCCUUUUUCCAUGGUUGUACGACUAGCUUCUUUCGCUGCUGAUUGAAGAGGUACAAGAAUUACACUUAGAGACGGACCCACAUUCUCCUUUCGGUGCGGCCAAUUAACUUUAUCAUCAUUUUAUUAAGUUGUUUUAUUGCUGUAAAUGAUUUUAUCAUAGAAAUAAAGUAGAAUCACAAAUGUAAAUUAUUUAAAAUUGACAAGGGCUAUUUUAUUCUUGAGAAAGACCCCAUAUUAUAUAUACAUUAUAUUGUGCCCC